UCUGCUCAGAUUGAACGCUGGCGGCAGGCCUAACACAUGCAAGUCGAACGGUAACAGGAAGCAGCUUGCUGCUUUGCUGACGAGUGGCGGACGGGUGAGUAAUGUCUGGGAAACUGCCUGAUGGAGGGGGAUAACUACUGGAAACGGUGGCUAAUACCGCAUAACGUCGCAAGACCAAAGAGGGGGACCUUCGGGCCUCUUGCCAUCAGAUGUGCCCAGAUGGGAUUAGCUUGUUGGUGAGGUAACGGCUCACCAAGGCGACGAUCCCUAGCUGGUCUGAGAGGAUGACCAGCCACACUGGAACUGAGACACGGUCCAGACUCCUACGGGAGGCAGCAGUGGGGAAUAUUGCACAAUGGGCGCAAGCCUGAUGCAGCCAUGCCGCGUGUAUGAAGAAGGCCUUCGGGUUGUAAAGUACUUUCAGCGGGGAGGAAGGUGUUGUGGUUAAUAACCGCAGCAAUUGACGUUACCCGCAGAAGAAGCACCGGCUAACUCCGUGCCAGCAGCCGCGGUAAUACGGAGGGUGCAAGCGUUAAUCGGAAUUACUGGGCGUAAAGCGCACGCAGGCGGUCUGUCAAGUCGGAUGUGAAAUCCCCGGGCUCAACCUGGGAACUGCAUUCGAAACUGGCAGGCUUGAGUCUUGUAGAGGGGGGUAGAAUUCCAGGUGUAGCGGUGAAAUGCGUAGAGAUCUGGAGGAAUACCGGUGGCGAAGGCGGCCCCCUGGACAAAGACUGACGCUCAGGUGCGAAAGCGUGGGGAGCAAACAGGAUUAGAUACCCUGGUAGUCCACGCCGUAAACGAUGUCUACUUGGAGGUUGUGCCCUUGAGGCGUGGCUUCCGGAGCUAACGCGUUAAGUAGACCGCCUGGGGAGUACGGCCGCAAGGUUAAAACUCAAAUGAAUUGACGGGGGCCCGCACAAGCGGUGGAGCAUGUGGUUUAAUUCGAUGCAACGCGAAGAACCUUACCUGGUCUUGACAUCCACAGAACUUUCCAGAGAUGGAUUGGUGCCUUCGGGAACUGUGAGACAGGUGCUGCAUGGCUGUCGUCAGCUCGUGUUGUGAAAUGUUGGGUUAAGUCCCGCAACGAGCGCAACCCUUAUCCUUUGUUGCCAGCGGUCCGGCCGGGAACUCAAAGGAGACUGCCAGUGAUAAACUGGAGGAAGGUGGGGAUGACGUCAAGUCAUCAUGGCCCUUACGACCAGGGCUACACACGUGCUACAAUGGCGCAUACAAAGAGAAGCGACCUCGCGAGAGCAAGCGGACCUCAUAAAGUGCGUCGUAGUCCGGAUUGGAGUCUGCAACUCGACUCCAUGAAGUCGGAAUCGCUAGUAAUCGUGGAUCAGAAUGCCACGGUGAAUACGUUCCCGGGCCUUGUACACACCGCCCGUCACACCAUGGGAGUGGGUUGCAAAAGAAGUAGGUAGCUUAACCUUCGGGAGGGCGCUUACCACUUUGUGAUUCAUUGACUGGGUGAUCUA
rnacentral:rRNA from 1 species